UACGGAGGCAGCAGUGGGGAAUAUUGCACAAUGGGCGCAAGCCUGAUGCAGCCAUGCCGCGUGUAUGAAAAAGGCCUUCGGGUUGUAAAGUACUUUCAGUCGUGAGGAAGGUGUUAAGGUUAAUAACCUUAGCAAUUGACGUUAGCGACAGAAGAAGCACCGGCUAACUCCGUGCCAGCAGCCGCGGUAAUACGGAGGGUGCGAGCGUUAAUCGGAAUUACUGGGCGUAAAGGGCACGCAGGCGGUUAAUUAAGUUGGAUGUGAAAUCCCCGGGCUUAACCUGGGAAUGGCAUUCAAGACUGGUUAGCUAGAGUCUUGUAGAGGGGGUAGAAUUCCAUGUGUAGCGGUGAAAUGCGUAGAGAUGUGGAGGAAUACCGGUGGCGAAGGCGGCCCCUGGCAAAGACUGACGCUCAUGUGCGAAAGCUGGGGAGCAAACAGGGAUUAGAUACC
rnacentral:rRNA from 1 species